rnacentral:rRNA from 1 species
CCUACGGGGGGCUGCAGUGGGGAAUAUUGCACAAUGGGGGGAACCCUGAUGCAGCGACGCCGCGUGAGCGAUGAAGUAUUUCGGUAUGUAAAGCUCUAUCAGCAGGGAAGAAAAUGACGGUACCUGACUAAGAAGCCCCGGCUAACUACGUGCCAGCAGCCGCGGUAAUACGUAGGGGGCAAGCGUUAUCCGGAUUUACUGGGUGUAAAGGGAGCGUAGACGGCUGUGCAAGUCUGGAGUGAAAGGCAUGGGCUCAACCUGUGGACUGCUUUGGAAACUGUGCGGCUUGAGUGUCGGAGAGGCAAGUGGAAUUCCUAGUGUAGCGGUGAAAUGCGUAGAUAUUAGGAGGAACACCAGUGGCGAAGGCGGCUUGCUUGACGAUGACUGACGUUGAGGCUCGAAAGCGUGGGGAGCAAACAGGAUUAGAUACCCGUGUAGUC